GACUGUGAGAGUACGAGGCCAGUGUGGGUCGGGUGAUGGAGGCGGCAGGCUGUGUGGCUCCCCGCCGGCCAGUGACCUGCCAGGGACGUACACACUGCAUGACCAGGACACCUCGCGCUUCGCGUAAUAUCCACUUCAACAUGCCACGUUAUGUUCGUUAUCUUUAAUAACAUUGAAAAUACCAUUUCAACUACUGUAGAACAAAUAAUUCAAACUACAGCACAAUGACUGACUUACGUAAUUCUCGAACUACAAAUAAACAAUACUACCAGAUAAAAAAAAAUAUAUGAUAAAAUUUCGUUCCUUGCCCAAAGUUGAUAAUUAAUCAUUAAUGCAAUGAGUGUGUAAUAAGCUAAUGGAUUACAGAAACUGUAGGAAGUGUACAGUACUAAUUUUCUGUGUUGUGAUGUGUGUGGGGGAAGAAAUCGGAGUUUAAGACCAUCAUGGAGCCGGAAACAGAGAUAGGAAGGGACACAAAAGACAAUCUCCAAAUGCUCUGUGGUCCUCCAGCGUCGUGUGUGGCGUGACGGAGAUUGGGUGCAACAAGCAGCAGCAGGAGAGGACCGGUGAAGGGUGAGCCAGCGAGCAGUGGGAGGCGUGACGUGACGCUAUAAUACCCAGGAAGACAGGGAAGCCACCAGGAUGGGCGGGUUGCCGGCAUGAUGAGCGAGGCAGUGGUGCUUGUGACGUGACCCUCGCCAUGAUGGACAGUUUCCCCUACACCCUGCUGCUGACGGCCAUCACUCUCCUCUCAGGAGUGUUGGUGGAGGGGUGUAACAUGGCUACCAAGGAGGUGGGGGUGUGUCUCCACGUCUACCUGGAGAGGGACUUCUUAACCAUGGAACGUAUUGUUUACCCGAGACGCAGUGCUAAGAGACGGGAGAUGCUCUAUAACAGCUACGCAGGUGCUAGGUCUCUGCGUCUGUUACCGAGAUUACCUCAACUCGGGGACCUCACGACGGAGGCCAGUGUGGCACAGACGACAGAUGCACGACAGAGUCCGGAUAUGAAGACGAAUCAGGGUGUGGAACAGAGCCAAGACGUGAAUCCAAAACCUGGUGUAGAGCAUAAGCCAGGAACUCUGCAGAUGAUGAGUGUGGGGGAGGACGUGAAGGGUCGCCACAAUCACCGACUUCUCACUGACGAUGGCAACUGGACGAGGGUGAGUCCCAGUCCCCCCGAUAACUACGCCGUGAUCGACGCCUACGGUCAGCACGGAUGGGUGGAGGGCCCGGAACUGGAGGACUAUUGCAGUCGUCUGGGGACCGUCAUCACGUGCUUCGAAGAGGUCUUGGUCGAAUGUAACAGUGGCUAUGACUUCUUCAGGUACCGUCACUUGCUACACGCCCUGGAGAGAGUCCACACCUACCUCUGCCGCACCGCCGCCGACCGCAGCAGCAAGUUCCUACCUUUCCUGAAGGUGAUAGACUGUGCAGAGAACGCGCGGCUGGACCGAGGGUCUUGUCAUCGACCAAACGUCACAGUCAACGUGUGGAACCAAAUACUGAGGCUGGAACUCGGCCCAGAGCUGUGCGAUUCACUCAACACCCAGCGCUCUUGUCUGCUGGAGAACGAGUACGUGAGACAGGAGUGUGGUGGGAAGGCCAAGGAGGAGCUGUACAAGAACGUGUCUGGAGUGUUCCUGGCUACCUGGUGUCGUCUCCCUUUACCUCCACAUCUCUCCCAACUCUUUGUGUCAUCUAGUCCACCUCCCUCCGCCGCCUCCUUCACCCCCCUCCUCCUAUUGUUGUUCCUACAGGCGGUCCUCACUACCUCCUGAUGACCCCUCACUCCCUCACUCACUCUCCCGUGCUGUGAAAGAUCGAGACAUUACGCCUGAUAGGGGUGUCGUCGUCCUCUCAACGCGGGAAAUAACAAAGUAUUGGUGUACAUUUGCAACAUUUGUAUAGUCCUGUGGAAAAUAUUGGUGCUAUCCAUACCUCGUAACUCCGUGGUGAACUAGUGCCGUUACUCUUGGUGAUGCAAGGAACAGCAUCGGUAACAAUACUUCCUGGUGACUGAACAACAAACUCACACAAAAAAUGCCUCAUCUUAUGGCCUCUUUACUUAACUACGAGAUUUAAGUGAUAGUGACUUUCUUAACCUGUGAACCGCUGGACAUUUGUAUUGUACUACACAACUGAGUAUUAUAGUACUGUAAAUAUGUAUACAAUUUUGUUUGUGUAUUUUGUGUAUGAUUGAAACUUUUUUUGGUCUUUUUCUUGACAUUCCAUGACCAGAAGAUAACUGAGGUGUUCUUCUGUCAGGUGUUGUGUGUGUGUGUGUGUGUGUAACAUGCAGAGGAGACACAACUACCACGUGUUAUAUAGAGGUAUAACUGUGACCAGGUGGCUUACAAUAUGUGUGAACAAGAUGAUAAUAAUUGAUUUUCUACUUAAUUUACAAAUAAACAAAAAUGACAAUAAUCUUAUUUGAUUUAUAUUCUAAAGAUCCAAAUGCCAGAUACUAUAAUGGAUGAUCAUUGUAUUUAAUGGUUGAUAUCAUUUGCGUUAGUUUGGUUUUUAAAAAAUUUAUGUGUAAAUGAUUUGUAUUUCCACUUUCCCCUUACUACCUGGUCGAGCUGGUAUAUCAGAUGAUUGCUGUUAUACCUGGACGUAAACACCUGGUAGGAGAUUGGGUCUUAAUACUUGAAUGUGUUUAUACCUUGUAAAAAUGUCUAUGUGGAAGUAGUGAUUUUUCACCUCAGAAUCGCUUAACAUUUGAAAUUGUUUUUUUUUCUGAUUGGCUGUCCGCCUCAUGGUGCUGUGUUGCCAUUGGUUAUCUCUGAGGGUACGGUGUUGCCAUUGGUUAUCUCUGAGGGUACUGUGUUGCCAUUGGUUAUCUCUGAGGGUACUGUGUUGCCAUUGGUUAUAACAUCUUGUCAUGUUGCUUUGUGAUUGGUUUUCUUUCGUUGUGAUGCUUUGUGAUAGUAUGUUAUUUCCUGCUGUAAUGUGAUUGGUCACCUUUCGUGCUCCAGGAUAUGGGACUGGUUACCUCUCAUAAUGUGAGUCGCCAAAACUUUUAUGAUAAUUGCUUUGUGGUUGUUUAUCGCUUAUCUACCGUAAGUUAUCGCUUGUAUUGUUCCUCUAUGAUUAGUAAUAUGUUGUGUUCCGUGACAGGUUGAUACGAAUAUCUUGUGGUGCUGCAAGUAUUGGACUGGUUAUUACCCUCGUUCUGGGUGUUUAAUUAUCACUACAAACACCAAUUCUUCUUCUUGUAAAUAGUCAUCGUGAGCAAUAAUGGUUUAAUUCUGGUCUUUUCGUUAAUAGGAUGAAACAGGAGAGUAAUGAUUGCUGUAGGUCUUCAUUCGUAGUACUGUUGGAAGUAACUUGUCUACUGUAUAGGUGUCUGUAGUAGGUCGAGGAUUUUGGCGAAUUUGUCUACUUGAAAAACUCUUCUCGUCACACACACACACACACACACACACACUAGCUUCCAACACCCAAUAUUAUGACUCGAGUGUAAAAGUUUUCCCGAGUGUUUCCUUACCAAGAUUGACGAAGGUUCCUAGCCAAUGAUAAAAGUGUCGGUAUUCUUCUCUUCACGACAGCAUGCUACAGUGUGUAUUGAGUGAGAGGUGAAUAGAUUUUGCGUUCCAGUAAGAGUUUGUUUUCCAUGUGUGUGUGUGUGUGUGUGUGUGUCAUUUUCUCCUUGAACUCUUGGAGGCUUCUGUUGUCUAUAUUUUUUGUCUUGCUCUUCCUCUUCCCAGUGACAGUGACUUGAAAAGGUGGAAUUUACAAGUAGAAGAUGAAACGACGUGUGUAAGAUGAGAAUUCCUUUAUGGUGUCGUGUGAGGAACGCGAGAGGAGUGUUUGGAGGUACAGGAUACUCUUGCCGCCUGUCAGCGUUGGUUCUUGGUGGAUUAGUUAAUAUUGUUUACUUCUUUCAGCUGGUUAAUAGACGCUAGAAGGUGUAUGUAUGUGUGUGAGAGAGAGAGUACGUGUAAAUUUCUUCAUUACUUAACUUAAAGAUACUGAACUGUUGUCACUCGUCACUGUCUUGCUUGUACUCUGAAUAUUUUUUUUUUUCAAUAAAGAUAAAUGAAGAUAAAUAAA
rnacentral:misc_RNA from 1 species